rnacentral:rRNA from 1 species
UGGAGUAUGUGGUUUAAUUCGACGCAACGCGCAGAACCUUACCUAGGCUUGACAUCCCGGGAAUUUGCUGGAAACAGUGAAGUGCUUUCAUUAGAAAGAGCCCGGUGACAGGUGCUGCAUGGCUGUCGUCAGCUCGUGUCGUGAGAUGUUGGGUUAAGUCCCGCAACGAGCGCAACCCUCGCCUUUAGUUGCCAGCAUUCAGUUGGGCACUCUAAAGGGACUGCCGGUGUCAAACCGGAGGAAGGUGGGGAUGACGUCAAGUCCUCAUGGCCUUUAUGUCUAGGGCUACACACGUACUACAAUGGCAGGUACAAAGGGCAGCGACACAGCGAUGUGAUGCGAAUCCCGAAAAGCCUGUCUCAGUCCAGAUCGGAGUCUGCAACUCGACUCCGUGAAGUUGGAAUCGCUAGUAAUCGUGGAUCAGCAUGCCACGGUGAAUACGUUCCCGGGCCUU